CUAAGAAUAUUCCGCAAUGGACGAAAGUCUGACGGAGCGACGCCGCGUGGAUGACGAAGGCCGAAAGGUUGUAAAAUCCUUUUGCUGGUGAAGAAUAAGCGCUUCAGGAAAUGGGAGCGUGAUGACAUGAACCGGUGAAUAAGCCCCGGCAAACUACGUGCCAGCAGCCGCGGUAACACGUAGGGGGCAAGCGUUGUUCGGAAUUAUUGGGCGUAAAGGGCAUGUAGGCGGUCUUGUAAGCCUGGCGUGAAAUGGUUCGGCUUAACCGAAUCCUGCGUUGGGAACUGCGAGGCUAGAAUCACUGAGGGGGAAUCAGAAUUCCAGGUGUAGGGGUGAAAUCUGUAGAUAUCUGGAAGAAUACCAGUGGCGAAGGCGGAUUCCUGGCAGAUGAUUGACGCUGAGGUGCGAAAGCGUGGGGAGCAAACAGG
rnacentral:rRNA from 1 species